AAAAAGAACAUUUAUAAAGGAAGAUGCAAGGAUAUUUUUGAAGGAUAUUUUUGAAGGCCUGUUUAAAUCCUUGCAUGUUCCUACAAAUAUCAUAACUUGAAUAUAACUAAAAUGUUGCACGGACCCGUUUUCGUGUGCUCCUAGAGCCUAGGUCUCAAGUGUUUAAACACGGGCACUAGGCUCUCAAUGCCUUUUUCACGUGUUCCUAGAGGCUAGGUCUCAAGUGUUUAAACACGGGCACUAGGCUCUAAAUGCCUUUUUCACGUGUUCCUAGAGGCUAGGUCUCGAGUGUUUAAACACGGGCACUAGGCUAUCAAUGCCUUUAUCACGUGUUCCUAGAGGCUAGGUCUCAAGUGUUUAAACACGGGCACUAGGCUCUCAAUGCCUUUUUCACGUGUUCCUAGAGGCUAGGUCUCAAGUGUUUAAACACGAGCACUAGGCUCUAAAUGCCUUUUUCACGUGUUCCUAGAGGCUAGGUCUCGAGUGUUUAAACACGGGCACUAGGCUCUCAAUGCCUUUAUCACGUGUUCCUAGAGGCUAGGUCUCAAGUGUUUAAACACGGGCACUAGGCUCUAAAUGCCUUUUUCACGUGUUCCUAGAGGCUAGGUCUCGAGUGUUUAAACACGGGCACUAGGCUCUCAAUGCCUUUAUCACGUGUUCCUAGAGGCUAGGUCUCAAGUGUUUAAACACGGGCACUAGGCUCUCAAUGCCUUUUUCACGUGUUCCUAGAGGCUAGGUCUCGAGUGUUUAAACACGGGCACUAGGCUCUCAAUGCCUUUUUCACGUGUUCCGUGUUUAAACACGGGCACUAGACUCUCAAUUCCCUUUUUGCGUUGUCCUAGUUGAUCGGCCCCAUGUGUUUAACCAACCAACCAAACCACCUACCUACCAACCAACCAACCAUUACAUGCUUGUUGUGGUCCCUUGUGUUUAAUACAGGUCCAAGAUCUCAUUUGUUUCGUCUUUGCUUGUUUCAAGCGACCCUAUCCUACGUGUGUAAUCAAUCAAUCAAUCAAUCAACCAAUCAAUCAAUCAAACAAUCAAUCAAUCAGUCAAUCAAUCAAUCAAUCAAUCCAUCAAUUAAUCAAUCAAUCAAUCAUGUUUCGGAGGGGAAAGACCGUUAACAAUUGUUUUUAAAACAAUUGAUUUAUAUUUAGGUCUUUCCACUUUUCCGUGGAAAGACCUAUUGAUUUUGUUCUGAUUAUUAUUAUUAAGUCUUUCCACUUUUCCAUGGAAAGACCUAUUGAUUUUGUUCUGUUUAUUAUUAUUAUUUUUUUUUUCUUCCGCCUAAUUUUUUUCUUGCGUAGUAUUGUUGUUUCAUAAGAUGUCGCUUAUAUAUUUGGUAUGUGAUAUCGAACAGUUUAAACGCUUUUGAAACUGACAACCGCUUAACCGAAUACUUUACGUGGUAAGAGUUAUCUCCCCAAACACUGUUUUUCAUGUGGCCACUACUCCUUCGCAACCGUAAAAGAUUACGACAAAUUUAUUUUACCAAAUUGCUCGCUAUAUCUUCAGGAUGUUGAGUUUGGUUUUCACCGAAGCGUUCCGGAGACUCCAUAUGAGAGUUAUUUCCCUUAUGCAUUUGAUAUAAGUGAUAUGCAUUUCUAACUGGUAAACCAUAAGUGAUAGAGACCUAGGGUCUUUUGAUUUGAGGUCCUUGGUCCAAAAAAAAAGAAAAUUAGGUCAAGGUCAAAGGUCAAGGUCAUAUUCUGAAUUUUGAUUUUGGCUUAUUUUCACUCCGUAUAAGAUAUCGACAACAUAUUAUUACUAAAUUGUUAGUUGCGACAUGUCGUAACACACACAUUUUGGUUUAAAGGGUGCGCUAACAUUAAAUUAGAGUUUUCUCCCCUCUUGUAUUUAAAAAUACGCGUAUGGUGAUAUAACUCAUUAACCAUAUAUAACUAAGACCUAGGGUCUUUUGAUUCGAGGUCCUUGGUUUAUGACCUUGAAAUUGAGCUCAAGGUCAUAGGUAAAUUUGACGUUCUAGAUUUUGACCUUUGCUUUUACCUCAUAUGUAUACAUGAUAAAGCCAUGGGACUUUUUGCAUUAGGUUGCAAGCCAUUUGACCUUGAAAAAUCCAACCGGAAGUGACCUUGUGUAAACCGGAAGUAGCUAUUCUUUGUACUUAUUUAAUAUAAAAGUAUAUAGAACCAUAUAUUUUUGGAAUCAGUGUCAAGUAAACAUUCAAAUUAUACCGA